GUGGUUUGAUAGGGUGUGUAGACGUUUGAUAGGGUCUGUAAAGGUUUGAUAGGGUCUGUUGAGGUUUGUAGAU